rnacentral:rRNA from 1 species
AGAGUUUGAUCAUGGCUCAGGAUGAACGCUGGCGGCGUGCUUAAGACAUGCAAGUCGAACGCAGGCCCUGUCGCAAGACGGGGACUGAGUGGCGAAUGGGUGCGUAACACGUAGGUGACCUGCCCGGAAGUGGGGAAUAACAGUUCGAAAGGACUGCUAAUACCGCAUACGGUGGCCGGCUCUAGACGGCUGGCGACCAA